UAAAUACUAAUACCAGAUCGAUAGUGCACAAGUACCGUGAGGGAAAGGUGAAAAGAACUGAGGUGAUCAGAGUGAAAUAGAACCUGAAACCAUUUGCUUACAAUCAUUCAGAGCCCUAUGUAGCAAUACAGGGUGAUGGACUGCCUUUUGCAUAAUGAGCCUGCGAGUUGUGGUGUCUGGCAAGGUUAAGCAAACGCGAAGCCGUAGCGAAAGCGAGUCUGAAUAGGGCGCUUAGUCAGAUGCUGCAGACCCGAAACGAAGUGAUCUAUCCAUGAGCAAGUUGAAGCUAGUGUAAGAACUAGUGGAGGACUGAACCCAUAGGCGUUGAAAAGCCCCGGGAUGACUUGUGGAUAGGGGUGAAAGGCCAAUCAAACUUCGUGAUAGCUGGUUCUCUCCGAAAUAUAUUUAGGUAUAGCGUUGUGUCGUAAUAUAAGGGGGUAGAGCACUGAAUGGGCUAGGGCAUACACCAAUGUACCAAACCCUAUCAAACUCCGAAUACCUUAUAUGUAAUCACAGCAGUCAGGCGGCGAGUGAUAAAAUCCGUCGUCAAGAGGGAAACAACCCAGACUACCAGCUAAGGUCCCUAAAUCUUACUUAAGUGGAAAACGAUGUGAAGUUACUUAAACAACCAGGAGGUUGGCUUAGAAGCAGCCAUCCUUUAAAGAAAGCGUAAUAGCUCACUGGUCUAGUGAUUUUGCGCGGAAAAUAUAACGGGGCUAAAGUAAGUACCGAAGCUGUAGACUUAGUUUAGUAAGUGGUAGGAGAGCGUUCUAUUUGCGUCGAAGGUAUACCGGUAAGGAGUGCUGGAGCGAAUAGAAGUGAGCAUGCAGGCAUGAGUAGCGAUAAUUAAUGUGAGAAUCAUUAACGCCGUAAACCCAAGGUUUCCUACGCGAUGCUCGUCAUCGUAGGGUUAGUCGGGUCCUAAGUCGAGUCCGAAAGGGGUAGACGAUGGCAAAUUGGUUAAUAUUCCAAUACCAACAUUAGUGUGCGAUGGAAGGACGCUUAGGGCUAAGGGGGCUAGCGGAUGGAAGUGCUAGUCUAAGGUCGUAGGAGGUUAUACAGGCAAAUCCGUAUAACAAUACUCCGAGAACUGAAAGGCUUUUUGAAGUCUUCGGAUGGAUAGAAGAACCCCUGAUGCCGUCGAGCCAAGAAAAGUUUCUAAGUUUAGCUAAUGUUGCCCGUACCGUAAACCGACACAGGUGGGUGGGAUGAGUAUUCUAAGGCGCGUGGAAGAACUCUCUUUAAGGAACUCUGCAAAAUAGCACCGUAUCUUCGGUAUAAGGUGUGGUUAGCUUUGUAUUAGGAUUUACUCCGAAAGCAAGGAAACUUACAACAAAGAGUCCCUCCCGACUGUUUACCAAAAACACAGCACUCUGCUAACUCGUAAGAGGAUGUAUAGGGUGUGACGCCUGCCCGGUGCUCGAAGGUUAAUUGAUGGGGUUAGCAUUAGCGAAGCUCUUGAUCGAAGCCCGAGUAAACGGCGGCCGUAACUAUAACGGUCCUAAGGUAGCGAAAUUCCUUGUCGGUUAAAUACCGACCUGCAUGAAUGGCGUAACGAGAUGGGAGCUGUCUCAAAGAGGGAUCCAGUGAAAUUGUAGUGGAGGUGAAAAUUCCUCCUACCCGCGGCAAGACGGAAAGACCCCGUGGACCUUUACUACAGCUUGACACUGCUACUUGGAUAAGAAUGUGCAGGAUAGGUGGGAGGCUUUGAGUAUAUGACGCCAGUUGUAUAUGAGCCAUUGUUGAGAUACCACUCUUUCUUAUUUGGGUAGCUAACCAGCUUGAGUUAUCCUCAAGUGGGACAAUGUCUGGUGGGUAGUUUGACUGGGGCGGUCGCCUCCCAAAUAAUAACGGAGGCUUACAAAGGUUGGCUCAGAACGGUUGGAAAUCGUUCGUAGAGUAUAAAGGUAUAAGCCAGCUUAACUGCAAGACAUACAAGUCAAGCAGAGACGAAAGUCGGUCUUAGUGAUCCGGUGGUUCUGUGUGGAAGGGCCAUCGCUCAAAGGAUAAAAGGUACCCCGGGGAUAACAGGCUGAUCUCCCCCAAGAGCUCACAUCGACGGGGAGGUUUGGCACCUCGAUGUCGGCUCAUCGCAUCCUGGGGCUGGAGCAGGUCCCAAGGGUAUGGCUGUUCGCCAUUUAAAGCGGUACGCGAGCUGGGUUCAGAACGUCGUGAGACAGUUCGGUCCCUAUCUGCCGUGGGCGUAAGAAGAUUGAAGAGAUUUGACCCUAGUACGAGAGGACCGGGUUGAACAAACCACUGGUGUAGCUGUUGUUCUGCCAAGAGCAUCGCAGCGUAGCUAAGUUUGGAAAGGAUAAACGCUGAAAGCAUCUAAGCGUGAAGCCAACUCUAAGAUGAAUCUUCUCUAAGCUCUCUAGAAGACUACUAGUUUGAUAGGCUGGGUGUGUAAUGGAUGAAAGUCCUUUAGCUGACCAGUACUAAUAGAGCGUUUGGCUUAUCUUUAAUAAAGCAU
rnacentral:rRNA from 1 species